rnacentral:rRNA from 1 species
UACGUAGGGUGCAAGCGUUAUCCGGAAUUAUUGGGCGUAAAGAGCUCGUAGGCGGCUUGUCGCGUCUGCUGUGAAAACUCGGGGCUUAACUCCGGGCCUGCAGUGGGUACGGGCAGACUAGAGUGCGGUAGGGGAGACUGGAAUUCCUGGUGUAGCGGUGAAAUGCGCUGAUAUCAGGAGGAACACCGGUGGCGAAGGCGGGUCGCUGGGCCGUAACUGACGCUGAGGAGCGAAAGCGUGGGGAGCGAACAGG